GAGUUUGAUCUUGGCUCAGGAUGAACGCCGGCGGUGUGCCUAAUACAUGCAAGUCGUACGCACUGGCCCAACUGAUUGAUGGUGCUUGCACCUGAUUGACGAUGGAUCACCAGUGAGUGGCGGACGGGUGAGUAACACGUAGGUAACCUGCCCCGGAGCGGGGAUAACAUUUGGAAACAGAUGCUAAUACCGCAUAACAACAAAGGCCACAUGGCUUUUGUUUGAAAGAUGGCUUUGGCCAUCACUCUGGGGUGGACCUGCGGUGCAUUAGCUAGUUGGUAAGGUAACGGCUUACCAAGGCGAUGAUGCAUAGCCGAGUUGAGAGACUGAUCGGCCACAAUGGAACUGAGACACGGUCCAUACUCCUACGGGAGGCAGCAGUAGGGAAUCUUCCACAAUGGGCGCAAGCCUGAUGGAGCAACACCGCGUGAGUGAAGAAGGGUUUCGGCUCGUAAAGCUCUGUUGUUGGAGAAGAACGUGCGUGAGAGUAACUGUU
rnacentral:rRNA from 1 species